rnacentral:lncRNA from 1 species
CUCGAGAAACUGGUUAGGGACUAAACAACGCUCCUUGACAGCUAUGGAGGAGGUAUCAACCCAAGAGACGCUGUAUGGCUGAGGGUGAGGAACAGACUUCAACCCUAGACGGGAUACGGUAGCCAUCGAAACUGCAUUAAUGCAGCUGCCACUAUCCACGAUGACUUUACAGCCCUUAUUAUUAAUCUUGAUGUAAGUGUGGAAGAUGGCACGACGGCGCCAAUCAUCGGCAUCCCUCGGCUGGGUAAGAGUACAACGGACGACACCGACUCUAGGUGUAUGUGGGAUAAGGGGACUAGCCUGGAUACAACCCAAGAAGGUAUCUUCAUUGUCCUCCAAGUCAUCAAACUCUUCUAAUUUAGGCUCAUACACCUGAUCCUCUAGUGGCUCGUCAACUAUACCUUCACGCUCUUCCAAAACUAGGGCUCGGCUAGGACACUUAGAAGCAAUGUGAUCAAAACCCUUACAGUUGAAGCAUUGCAAACGAGAGGAAGUUCUUGAAACCUCAGAACCUCUACCUUUACUAUCGGAUGUAGGGGUAAGAUUAGAAGGAGGAGGUCCUAGAAUAGACUUAGGGGGUGGAGCGGAUGCAGAAGAGGUAGCAGUGCAGGAGUCACUACGACUUCUAUACGGUGUCCUAGUCACUAACUCGUAAUCCCGAACGAAAGAGUAGGCGUGGUCAAGAGUGGUGACACCUCUAAGAACAAGCUCACGUCUAAGAUAAUCCCGUAGGCCUUGCCUAAACCUACUCAAAGUCAUGACUUCGUC